AGGCAGCAGUAGGGAAUUUUGCGCAAUGGACGAAAGUCUGACGCAGCAACGCCGCGUGAGCGAUGAAGGUUUUCGGAUCGUAAAGCUCUGUUGAGUGGGAAGACACGUCUCGGGGUUAAUAUCUCCGAGGCCUGACGGUACCACUCGAGGAAGCUCCGGCCAACUACGUGCCACCCGCCGCGGUAACACGUAGUGAGCGAGCGUUGUUCGGAAUCACUGGGCGUACCGGGAGUGCCGGCGGAAGAGUAAGUCAGAAGUGUAAUGCUACGGGCUCAACCCGUAUCUCGCUUUUGAUACUGUUCUUCUUGAGUAGUGGAGACGGAAACGGAAUUCCCUGUGUCGCGGUGGAAUGCGUAGAUAUCGGGAAGAACACCAGUAGCGAAGGCGGUUUCCCGGCCACAUACCGACGCUGAGGCUCGAAAGCGUGGGGAGCAAACAGGAUUAGAUACCCUGGUAGUCCACGCCGUAAACGAUGGGCACUAGAUAUCGGGGAAGUCGAUUUCUUGCGGUGUCGCAGUUAUACGCGAUAAGUGCCCCGCUUGGGGAGUAAGCCCGCAAGGGUGAAACUCAAAGGAAUUGACGGGGGCCCGCACGAGCGGUGGAGCAUGCGCUUUAAUUCGAUGCAACGCGAAGAACCUUACCUGGGUUUGACAUGGGAGUGAAACUUCCCAGAGAUGGGAAGCCUUCCUUCGGGAACACUCCACACAGGUGCUGCAUGGUAGUCGUCAGCUCGUGUCGUGAGAUGUUGGGUUAAGUCCCGCAACGAGCGCAACCCUCGCCAUUAGUUGCCAUCAGGUAAUGCUGGGAACUCUAAGGGGACCGCCUGGAACAACCAGGAGGAAGGUGGGGAUGAUGUCAAAUCAUCAUGGCUCUUACGUCCAGGGCUAGUACGCGUGCUACAAUGGUCGGUACAGAAGGAUGCCAAGUCGUGAGAUUGAGCUAAUCCAUGAAAACCGGCCUCAGUUCGGAUUGGAGUCUGCAAUUCGACUCCAUGAAGGUGGAAUCGCUAGUAAUCGCGGAUCAGCAUGCCCCGGUGAAUAUGUUCCCGGGCCUUGUACACAC
rnacentral:rRNA from 1 species